AUUGAACGCUGGCGGCAGGCUUAACACAUGCAAGUCGAGCGGAGAUGAGGUGCUUGCACCUUAUCUUAGCGGCGGACGGGUGAGUAAUGCUUAGGAAUCUGCCUAUUAGUGGGGGACAACAUUCCGAAAGGAAUGCUAAUACCGCAUACGUCCUACGGGAGAAAGCAGGGGAUCUUCGGACCUUGCGCUAAUAGAUGAGCCUAAGUCGGAUUAGCUAGUUGGUGGGGGAAAGGCCUACCAAGGCGACGAUCUGUAGCGGGUCUGAGAGGAUGAUCCGCCACACUGGGACUGGGACACGGCCCAGACUCCUACGGGAGGCAGCAGUGGGGAAUAUUGGACAAUGGGGGGAACCCUGAUCCAGCCAUGCCGCGUGUGUGAAGAAGGCCUUAUGGUUGUAAAGAACUUUAAGCGAGGAGGAGGCUACUGAGACUAAUACUCUUGGAUAGUGGACGUUACUCGCAGAAUAAGCACCGGCUAACUCUGUGCCAGCCGCCGCCGUAAUAC
rnacentral:rRNA from 1 species